CCUGGCUCACUCUUGCUUCAGAA
rnacentral:miRNA from 1 species